CCCUGAAGCCUCCAGAAGGCUCAUUUCCUCAUCUGAGCUGGCUGAGGCAAAGCAAGCGCCUGGGGACACUCCUACCUGAAGAAGUAGGCGGCGAGGAGGAGCAAGAGGAGGAGCAGCAGCACAGGCAACAGCAGCCAGAUAAACUGAAAAGCUCCAGGCAUGGAAAACAUCUUGCCAGCCUUUGGGAGAGUUCAAAGUGAUCCGGCAGAUCCUGCCCCUCCUCAUGGAAAUGGCUCCCGGAUGUGCACAAGUCCAACCUGGCAGUGUUCCGGGUGUCCUUAAAUGCCCAGUGGAUCAGCACUGGCAAGGCCAGUCAGGAACUCAGUCUGUGUUUCAGAUGGUUUGAACAGGGUUCUGCACAGUGCAUUUGCAUUCUGCUCCCCGCUUCCUCUACGGCUGGUGCCUGCUCUCAGCAGGGAUGUGGACUCAAUCUUGAGCUUAGUACCAGGGAAACAUUGAACAGGCACUCCAUGACAUUCAAAUCAGCCAUCGCACCAUAACCAGCCAGACUAAGGAUCAGAAGUGGAAGAGACAGGAUGAACAACAGCCAGUCUCAUUUCUGCUUCCAGUUUUUGCAGAUAAAUCAUCACAGGUGAACACACAGGACAAAAGACACAAGGAAAAUGGAGGCCUCCUGGAGGGGCCAUCUCUGCACCCCAGAUGUCCCUCCUCACCUUGAGUUCCUUAUCCUGAAUGAAGAUGCUGGAACUGAGAGGCAAGGAGCCUUUUAGGUCACUCUGCUCUGCCUGGGAGGGUGGCAUCCUGGGGACAGCAGAGGGCCCCCUGUCCACUGGGUCAUGGAGGAGCUUCCUUCACCUGAGAUAAGGGUCCCCUGACACUGUGCACAGAGCCUGGGCCAUGUGUGUUGUGUGCCUGCCCCAUCCUUCCUAGGCACAUAGUAGGGUAUGUGCCUUUCAAACUUAGCUGAGAAAGAAAAGAUGGUGAGGUACUGAUGGUCCAGAAAUUCCCAACCUGGAGCAAUGGCAGAUUCAAGGCCACCUUCACUGUGGCCUUGUGUGACUCAAGAGUCCUUUCUGCCUGUUAGAGAAGAGGCCACUUUUGUCACAAAAGGAGCUGGCCAGGAGGUAGAUUCAGGACAACCCACAUUCCUUAACCGGAGGUGAAGACAGCUCCUGGCUUCUCCUGAGCUUGAAGAAGAUAACAGGAUCGCAGAGAGUGAAAGACUCAAGGAAACCUCUGAAAAGCCAGUUUUCAAGGACCCAAAAGCCAUGCUUGAGUUCAUUUAACCAGCAAACAAGACCUCUAACCAGUUACCAGUUCAGAGAACAUGAAAUUUACAAUGUGUUUUCCAGAAAUGGGACAGGAAUAAAGUGUAUAUAGCUAGGACUUUAGCGGAUAAGUUUUCCCUACCCAAGAAACCAUCCCUUUUGUCUUGAAACCAGGAAGUCCCUAAUAACCUACAAAUUGUAACUGUUUGGAUCCCUUACAAUGAAAGAUGAGAGACAAAGAUUUUGUUGCCUGUUCUCAACAUUGUGAACACUAUGUAACUUGUAGCAUUUUUAUAAGCUUCAGAAAUUAACAAUGAUUAGCUUUUCUUGCCCUUGUAGUAGUUAGUAGCUGUUAUUUCAAAUAAGAUAUAAUGUCAUUGAACCCUCUAUGCACUAAAAAUUGUCAUGUAAGCAGGGAUGAGAUAAUUCUGUCCAGGAUAGUCUUUGAAUCUUCCCUAAACCAAAUUAUUACUGCAGGCGAGGCUAUUUAUGAUUGGGGAGAAAAUGUCCUGAAAACAGCAAGUUUAACCUCCACAAAGCUAGAUAAACAACAAGUAAUAGACACACCGAGAACAGCGCCCUCAAUGUCCUCCCUGUCUUUGUCACUCUCUCAGUCAUGGCUCUAAUGGAGGGCACUGUCAAUUUGUAUAAAGUAAAUGUGAACGGUGAACUUUGCUCACUGGGAAAGGCACUCAAAUUGGUUUUCAUUCUCAUCAUUAUUGUAUCUUCAUAUUAAUGACUAUGCUCAGGUGUCACAGCCUGUCAAAGUUUGCACAAUUUGAAGGGUGACUUUGGAGCAAUGAUAGUUUCUUUCCAACUCAGUGUCGCCUCUGGGACCUUGUCCCUGCAGCUCUCCUGGUCCUGCACCCUGCUCACUCUCAUGCCUUCAACAUUUCACUGGCCUUUUGUGACUCUACCUGCCACCAACCCCAGGAUUCCCUGUUGUCACUACAUCAGCCCUCAGCACUACACGGCUCAUCUGGGCUCAGUGACAGCUGCCUGUCCACGUGCUGCUCCCUGGAGCUGCCUGUUCCUCCUCUCUGAACUUGAACAUGAGCUCUUAUGAUUCAGAGUCACCUCGCAGUCUUGAAUUUCCUGGAGGCUUGCAUGAGAGGGAAGACAGAGUUGUGGCAGCAAACAGUAAAAUCAUAGGUGUUGCCGAGAGAUGGGGGGAAGUGCGUGCCUCCACUGUGAAGAUAACCUGGGGAGGGGACAGGACACAUUUCUUAAACUGCUGUGCUUCUGUCUCUGGACCUGCACUUUGCAAGAGCCCCAAAACACCCAGUGGGACUGUGAACUUUCAUUCUCAGAUGUGGAAAAAGGCAUAUUGCCUUUUUCUGAAAGCCUAGCGGUAGCCCUUUCCCUGUACUGUGUAUUUACUGGCACCCGCUCAGGUCCUGUCCAUGAAAGAGGUCUGUAUGUCAGGGAGCAGGACCCUGGCUAUACCUGGAGUGAAUCAUGGCUGUAGGACAGUGUGGAUUCAGGGCGGUAUCUGGACCUCUGGAGAGUUCUCCAGGACUUCACAGUAUGGGACAGACACAUUUGAUGGGCGAAAUCAGGUGAGAUAAUUUAUACUUCUGUGGCUUUCCUUUGACUUUUUAGGCUAGAAAUCAAUCUAUGAUGCCCUUCAAGCAGGACCCAUGAAAAAUCAAUUCUUCUGUCAUUACUAGCAGGGAAGAUGCUGCAGCAGGCUGACAAACUGAUGCUCUCCAGUUUGGAGACUUCAAAGAGUCUUGCAAUGGUGGGGUAAUUUGUCUCAGCACCUGUGCUCAUUGGCUGAGCACAUAGUGGGAUUGCCCUGCAAAGCAGAGGAUUUGAGGAAUGAUUUUACCCAAGAUUAAAGCCUUGGAAAAAGGCAUAUAGAAUCACCAUUGAAGAAAAAAAAAAAAAAAAAAAGGCCUGAACCUUUACUAAAGCAUCUAUACGUGACACAGGUGGUUAGAGAUUGGGACAGAAACUUGGCACUCUAGGAGCAUUUUUUUCUGGGCUUUUCCACUUCUCUGAUUCACAGCAAACACUUCAGGUCCUAUUGCAAGCUAAGGUGAGACUCAGGUACAGACCAACAGCAGGAAACCUCAGUGUGACCCUGACUAAUGAGUGGGACAGGAGUUGGACCACUUAAUACCCUCAGUGGCUCUGGAGGGCACUGCACACUUUGGUGGGCUAAAGACAGGAGUCUAUCCAUCUUCCGAGUCUCCCUGCUAAUUCUGGACACAGACUGUGUCUUGAGAGGACCCAUUCCAUAGGAGCGGGGAGGACAGAAGAGUGGUGAAGUGAUUUGGAGGCUGCUCAUUGCUGCUGCAUUAAAUUCAAGACAUUCAACAGAAUUGUCCUUUAGAGCUGCUUAUAUCCAACGUGACUACUUUCCUUUAGAAUUGGUUAAAUCUAACCUGAAUCAAUUCCCUAAACAUCUUCCAAGCACACAGGAUUUGCUCAGUGCUAAUAAAUCUCCCAGAAUUUCUGAGCGUGGUCUCUUUGCUUCAAGAAAGCCACAGUCUCUUUAGAGGCCAGCAUAGUGCAAGAGGGAUACAUGACCUCUGCAUGUGUGGACAUACAUGAUAAUCUCCUUGAGUUUACAAUUCUACCCAGAAAAAAAGACAAUGUACACUCUGGAAUAUUUUUAGCCUAAAUUGAGAAAGGAUUGUUCCAGAUUUAUUUAGUGCUCUAAGUUCUAAAACCCAAGCCAUAGGAAGACUAGGCAGUUAUGCCUGUUUUCUGUUAAAAUGUCAGUAGGUAGCUGUAACUGUUAACCAUGCUAUGUCAAGUUGACUAUAGUAGGAAAUAUCUAACAGACAUUUCUAGUAAAUGUCUAGUAGAGCACAGUCUGGGUGUGUCUGUGAAUGACUGAUGUGGAGGCCAGCAAGCUCAGGGUGAAGACAUAUGCAGCUGCAGGUGGCACCAAUCAAUAGGCUUGUAGCCUAGAUGGGAUAAAAAAGAAUGGGGAAGGAAGUGUGCGUUUUUGGAGUGUCCCAAUCCUCAUGGGUGGGUGUGCCUUUUGCUGCCAUCCCCAGUGACCAUCUCUAGUUUCUCUAGCCUUCCAGCCCAGACUCCCAGACUCACAGCAGGUACUCCAGUGAACCUUUGGGCCUUUGCCCUUAGGCUGCCGCUGCAUCCUGAUCCCUCUCAUUCUGUAGUUGCCAGCUUGCUGGGCUGAGCGGCUGUUGCAGACUCCAGCUCUCUAGUGUACAGGCGGUCACUGUGAACUCUCCCUCUCGGGUCCUGUCAGUCUACCUAGUAAAUCCGCUUGCAUAGCUAUACAUAUAUUUUCUAUUGAUUCAGUUCUUCUAGAGAGCCAAAUAUACUAAUGCAGCAGGUUUCUGUUGUUGGAAAACAAAUAGCAGAAAUACAGUGAAAAACUGCUGUUUGUGAACCAAUCAUGUGUCUGAAGUUUGGGUCCAUAAGAUUGAUCAGUAACUCAAAGCCAAGUGAAAAAUGAUUUGAGGGAAUGCAGAGGUAUCAACUGAGCCAAGAACAAAGUUGGAAUUUUUCCAUGGGCAGUGGUGUACUUCAUGAUACUUAUAUAUUCAUUAUGCUGCUUCAAUUCUGACAUCUUGAUAGGGUCUUCUGUGGAAAGGCAUGAUUUUAUCAAUUACCCUAGCUUUGAGCACAAUUAUUAUCACUUCUGUAUGACAAACACAUGCAACCUCAUGUCCAGCGUGCACACACACCUGCAUGUGCACACAUGUGCAUAUAACACCUACACACAUGUGCACAUGUACACACAGCUCAAGGCCUCUACCUCAUGGAAAAGCCUUUAGAGAGUCCAAAAAACCCGUGAAUGUCCUGAUACAGAUUUUGUGUGUUUCUUGAGAAUGUAACCAGGAUACAUCCAUCUUUGCUGUCAUCACAGGCCACAUGCAGAAUGGCAGGGGAUCCGCAGGAAGCAGAAAGCGGCAGUGGAGAUCCUUAUGGCUCCCACAAGAUCAGGUGCCCUCCUCUCAUUCAUUCAUCUGGCCUCAGUCCAAGACCUCACCCCACAGAGACUUGGGGACAUCCUCAGUGCUCAUAGUAGAUGCUCAAGGGGAUUCUUGGGGGACAAAUGAUUAAGAAUGACUGAAUGAGCUAGGUUGAAAUAAAUACACCUUCAAAGAACUACAGGAGGGCAAAUUAGUGUUCUGAGCUAAUAUGUUUUGUGGAGGCUCUGGCUACUCAAGGUAAGUCUCAGGGAUGCUUGGAUUUUGGAGAAACAGGAAAUGCCUGCAGCUAAGCCCAGCCUUGAGCAAUUGUUUUUGGCAUUGAGGCUUCUUAGAGAUGGAGAACAAGCCUGGUGAGAGGAAGGUGGCCACCCCUCAAGCACUGCAGCAUACUGGAGACCUCAACUACUGUGGCCAGGCGACACAUGGUCCAUACGUGUUUUCUUGCCUCACCUUCUCAAUGACCCUGGGAUGUGGGCAAGGUCAUUUCCACUUUCACCUAGAGAAACUGAUGCUCAGAAAAACCAAGCAAGGGGCCCAAAGUCAUGCAGCUAAGCAAGUGGCAGAGCUGGGAUUGGAAAUUAGAUCUCUCAGAUUCCCAGAGUCCUGCUGGAACCACUGCACAACCCUGUUUGGGGACAGGAGGACUAAGACCCAGAGGAGGAGUCCAAGGCCUGAAGGUGACUCAUCCUUGGUUUAUGAUCUGUUACAGUCCUAGAUUGAAAUUUAGUUUCUCCCAGGUGCAACAUACAAGUUAAACCAGUCAUUUUUCCAGAAGCCUGCUAAAACCAUGUGUGUGUGUGUGUGUGCGUGUGUGUGUGUGUGCGUGUGCGUGUGCGUGUGUGUGUGUGUGUGUGUGUGUGUGUGUACAGGAAAGAUGAGAAAGGGUUAGAAGACAGUGGCACCUAAAGACUAGCACAUUUAGGUGAAAAAGCUUCCAUUUUUAGGUGCUUUGGUUUUCAAUUUCUGACAUCUCCUGUGGGGCUGGUGUAGGAGCCCUGGGCAGGGCAGCUUUAGGCUUAACUGGAAAAGAAUGAGUCUCUCUGAUUGCAGAAAUGGUGCAGGAUAUGGUGAGGCAGCCUCCCCCCAUUUCCUCUGUCAGACCUAGCCCCUAGGGAGCAGCUGUCUGCAGGGCAGGGGUUGCCGCCAACACUGCCUCCCAUUCUGCUCGACCUCUAGGAACAGCAAGAAACACCUGUGUUGUCAAAGCCAUGGGAAAAUAAAUUUUGCCUAGGUCAGUAAGACAUGUUUUGAUUGACUAAGAGAUGGGAAAUUUAAAAGACAGGAUGACACAGAUAUGUGAGAUGAGAGUAACUUGUUUGAUUUAUAUUGGAAAUCGCUAUUCAGAUGACAUUGAUUUACCUGCUUGGUGGAAGCCUCCCUGGGAAGACGUGCAUAUGACUCAAGUUGUCAGAAUGCGCAUCGAGGGGUUAGAGUGAAGCUUCCUGUCCAGUUGGAGUGGAGGAGGAAUGUGUCUGUGAAGAUUGGAUCUGUGUUUUCGCCUAUCAGUGAAGGAGGAAUAGGAAGAAUUUCACAAAAAAUCUCUGCACAUUUGGUUCAUGGAAAAGGCGAGACCAGCCCAGGACAGCCCAGAUCCUUCAGUAGGAGUAACUGCCCCAUCAGGAAGACAGCAAAGCUGAUGUACCUCUGCCACUUUGGUCUGAACAGUGGAAGCACAUUUUCUUAAAUCUUCUUGUGAAAGAUGAAAUCACAGCAGUAAGUUCAACACAGUGGGAUUUCAGGGGCCUCUGAUUGGGCUGCAGUUGGGAUGAGAGGCCCUUUCUGCCUGUGCCCUCUGCCCCAUCACCCUACAAAGACGGCUGUUUUUGCAGACUGUGUUUCUCAACCUUGGGGCUGAAGAUCCUCAGCAUGCUAAUCUAAGAACUUACCAUAGUACGGAAGUCAUAAAUUAGAGCCUGCUGAUCAAAUGGGACAGGGAAAUUCUGGGUUUUGAGAGUGCUUUUUUUUUUUUUUUAAGGUGUAGUUACUUAGAAUAAAAUGCACAGACUUUAAGUUUAUGGUCUGAUAAAUUUUGACAAACACACAUUCCCUGUACAGCUGCACUUUCACCAAAAGCAGGGACACUUGUCAUUAUGUUAGAAACUUCCUUCUUGUCAUUCUUCCCUCUACUUUCCUUCCCUCGAAUCCCAGGAAGCAAACUGGAGUCUGACGUUUACCUCCAGAGCACUGGCUUUGCUUGUUCUUGACCUUCUUGCCGUGGUACAGACAACAAAGGCUCCUUCCAGCAUGGCAUCUUCGGUUUGCAGGCCACAAGAUCCCCUGUGGGCAUCAUUGCCUUUCACUGCUGACUGGACUGCUGUUGUACAUGCACUCUACAGUUUGGCUGCCAUUAGGGAUACACGCUUGGAUUUUUUCCAAUUAUUUUGCUCUUUUUUCAUAUAUUUACCUUUCAUUGAUUUUUUAAUAUUACACUCACACUGCCAAACCAUGUCUAAGAAUAAAAAAAAAAAAAAAAAAAGAAAUGGCAUAAUGGACCGCCUCAUCCACCUGUCCUUCAGUAUGCUAAAACUUGAUUCAUGUGUAUUCUUGUAAUUUCCCAGUCCUUUAAAAAAAUUCAUAACAUGAGCUGGAAUUUAAAUCUGCCACAGGUCUUCAGAUUUCCAGGCACCAUUAAAUAAAACCUCUUCAUAUUCAUCUCUCAAUAACAUAACUCUACACAAAAUUUUGUGGGAAAAUGAGCAUUUUUCAAGAAAGUGUGGCUUAAGAUCUAAGUGAAGUCUUCAGCUUAACUAAGAAUCUGUUAAUCUUUGAUUAAUAAUCCAGACUCCCCUUGGCUAGCUUAUCUACUCACUGAAGCCCAUGAGAAGGAAGGCUUCAUACCUGCCACACCUGACAGUGUCAGCAUUAUUGCCCAGAAGGGUCUGGUAGGGCCGCCCAGGAGAUACGAGGUGCAGCCUGCCUAGAGUUCAGUUCUGCACCAACAUUUUCCAUCAAGCCUGAAAACGCCCCCACCAACAGGAUAGUUUUACCUACUAGUUAGCUGCUAUGAACAGAGGUACUAGAAACACUUGGGUAUAAGUCUUUCUGUGCACAAAUGUUUUUCUUGUGUUUGGGGUUAGCACAUAGGUGGAAUAGCUAGUUUAGGAAGCAGGUGUGUACUAAGGGUUUUAAAAGUUUAAAUUAAAUUGAAAAAUUUACAAGGGAGGACUGUCCACAUAAAAUUCUGGAGACCUGGCUGUUCUUGGGAAAUGGGUGUCACCUACGUUUCUGAGACAGCAAAUAUGGACUGCAUUCCACUCCAUCCCUGUCAGGACCUCCCACCAAUCUCGGUAGUCGUGAUGGCCAGUCUGCAGGUGGACACCUGAUCACAGAGUCUGGGUUUAAUGUGGCCCUCUGGAUGCAGAGGACCCAAUUGUUCCACCUCUACCCCCCCACUCAGAACUCCCAUUAAUCAAUCUGAACUUGGAAUUGGGGUGGAGAAGCCUGAUUACUUUUUCCUGACUCAUAGCUACAGGUUUUAGUAAUUCCAAGUGAAAUACCACCUUUUCAGGACAUCACUAUACAUAGUUGUAGGAGGAUUUUAAUUUGGUUCAGUCUUCCUUAAUAUACCACAGACACAUAGAUUUUAAUUUUCUUUUAUUAAAAAUAAAUCCACCUUCCUUGCCUGGGUCUCUUGUGUAAAUAUCUAAUUAGGGCAAACGCUUGGCCUAGCCCAACAGGGGUGUGUCCACGUCCCUCAAGAAGGAACUGGCUUCAAAGAAUCGUACCCUCUUCUGAGGAAUGCUAAUUGGGCCAAAUAGGGUGCAUGAAUUAUUUAUAAAUGUUGCUCUGGUUAUCAGAGGAAAAUUGACCCCAAAUUGCAACUAAGAAAGAAAUCUGCCUACUUUAUAACUCAGAGGAGCUGUUUUAGGCCUGGAUCCCCCCAACCACGUGACCACAAAGAAUACUGCCGGUGCCUGAAGGGGCGCCCACAGCAGAGCCCCACUUGGUCACUACUUAUGUGACCAGGUGAUACAUUUGAUGUUUCUUUCACUAAUCUGUGGGUGGGAGGGUGACUGUCCCCCAACCUAGCCUGAUUGUUCCUUGGAUAAAGAUGCACACUGGUAUUCCAGGACCCAUUGAGUGGCAUGAGUAUUAUGUGUUGAGCAAUUUUCAUUGCCUUUCACCUUAUGCUGGGCCAUUUGAGAGGGAGGAAUAAAGAUCCUCUUCCACAGCUAAGACAGCCACAAUCCAGGAAGAGAAGCCCUUCAGCUCCUGUCUCACAUCUAAAAAGCAGCAGAGGCAGAAGCACAUUGAGUCUUAUCUAAGUAAACUUUUGAAAGCUUCUUCCAUUCAGCCAUUUGAUUGUUUAAGGCACCAAAAGAUGAACAAAACAUCAUAGCCCUGCCUGUGUGGACCUUCCUUUAACAUGCUCACUCAGUUCAGGCUGCUAAAAGAAACCCCUCUGUCAUUUAUAAACAACAGAAAUUUCUCACAGUUCUGGGGACCACUAUGUCCAAGAUUAAGGUACCAACAGAUUUAGUGUCUGGAGAAGGAUUACUUCCCAAUUCACAGAAGAUUCUGUCCCUAUAUAUAUAGUUCCUUAAUACUGAUUUCUAUGAAAUUCCUUUAUACCUCUGGCCCUUAGUGGUGCUCAAAUAUAAAAUUCUCAAGCUG